AACAUACAGAACAAUGGAGUGCACGAGCAUUUGGAGACAUAGGAAGAGCCUCGGAAGCAACAUCUCUCAUGGUACUCAGUCUAGUCCUCCGAGAUGUUGACUGGGAAGCCUGGAAGGUGUCCUGAGAACCAGAGGAAGAGCAAAUAGCUUUGGCUCCUCCACUGGGGUCCGCAUUAUGUUAUUUCCACAGGUUGAAUCUUCCUGAGAGAGAAGGCUGCUAGAGAAAAUCAGGGCCACCUGCGUCCACGACUGUAUUUUGUGACUCCUAGAACCUUCUUCUUGUGGAGACGGAGUAUGGCCCAGAGAACAACUGCCCCAAAAGGAGUCUUUGCUGUUGGAUGUUUUUAAGGAAUUGCUUUAAUCCUAGCUACGGUCCUUCAUUCCUUUCUAUGUUUCUACUGCGGGCUGCCAGUUCUUCAAAUGGCCUGACUCCACCUGCAUUCUGCCCCGCAAUGGCCAACUUCAAUAGAAUUAACCGUCACAAACGGCAGUUUGUAACAUCUUCAUGAAGAGAUCCAUCCUGUUGCUUUUGAAUUUUGCUAGUUAUUUGUGUCUAUUUUCUGUACAAAAUUGAUCUAGACACAUAAAACUAGAUUAGUAAUACUGAUAUUGAUGUAUAUUUAAGGGGAUAGAUGUGGUUUUGCUAAAAUAAAAGAAACAAACAAACAAACAAACAAA
rnacentral:lncRNA from 1 species